rnacentral:lncRNA from 1 species
AUUAGCUCAUGAGCUAAUAUCACAUUGUCUGCUACUCUUCUUCCUGGUAUAAAUCCAGCCUGCGAGUUGCAUAUAAUACUACUCAUAACUUUUUGGAGUCUAUUCGCCAACAGCUUGGAAAUAAUCUUAUACAAGACUGAGCAACAAGCUAUAGGCCUAAACUCUUUCNNNNNNNNNNNNNNNNNNNNNNNNNNNNACAAGCUAUAGGCCUAAACUCUUUCACUGUUUGAGGAUUAGGUACUUUAGGUAGCAAAGUGAGAGUUGCACAAUUAGCAGGUCUGUACAUUGUGGAGGUAUGAAAGAAAUUUCUGACAGCUUGGAUAACCUGAUUACCAAUGAUAUGCCAAGAUUGUUUGAAGAACAUGGCAUUAAAACCAUCAAUCCCUGGAGCUUUAUCAUUUCCAAUACCCUUCAAGCUGUCAAUUAUCUCUAUAUCAGUUAUAUCAACUACAAGAUCCAUCCUUUGUACUUGAGAUAAUUUUGGUCCAUUCCUCAUAUAUAUCUUAUUCACUGCUGGAAGUGAAUUGGCUGAAGUUCCCAUUAGAGCUUGAUAGAAAUCCCUAAUUUCCUUCUUCAAAUCUGCAGGAUCAUUUAUCUUCAAGCCUCCUUCUGUGGAGAGUUCAAUAAUC